rnacentral:rRNA from 1 species
AGCGAACGCUGGCGGCAGGCCUAACACAUGCAAGUCGAACGAACCUUUCGGGGUUAGUGGCGGACGGGUGAGUAACACGUGGGAACGUGCCUUUAGGUUCGGAAUAACUCAGGGAAACUUGUGCUAAUACCGCAUGUGCUCUUCGCGGGAAAGAUUUAUCGCCUUUAGAGCGGCCCGCGUCUGAUUAGCUAGUUGGUUGAGGUAAUGGCUCACCAAGGCGACGAUCAGUAGCUGGUCUGAGAGGAUGAUCAGCCACAUUGGGACUGAGACACGGCCCAAACUCCUACGGGAGGCAGCAGUGGGGAAUCUUGCGCAAUGGGCGAAAGCCUGACGCAGCCAUGCCGCGUGAAUGAUGAAGGUCUUAGGAUUGUAAAAUUCUUUCACCGGGGACGAUAAUGACGGUACCCGGAGAAGAAGCCCCGGCUAACUUCGUG